GACGGAGGAUGCAAGUGUUAUCCGGAAUCACUGGGCGUAAAGCGUCUGUAGGUGGUUUAAUAAGUCAACUGUUAAAUCUUGAGGCUCAACCUCAAAAUCGCAGUCGAAACUAUUAGGCUAGAGUAUAGUAGGGGUAAAGGGAAUUUCCAGUGGAGCGGUGAAAUGCGUAGAGAUCCGGAGGAACACCAAAGGCGAAGGCAGUGUCCUGGGGAGUACCUGACGCUCAGGUGCGAAAGCCAGGGGAGCGAACGGG
rnacentral:rRNA from 1 species